rnacentral:lncRNA from 1 species
AGGACUGGGUCAGUAUCUUAGAGAAGAAAUGAUCAUCUGGAUUACCUAGAAUGAACUAUGAGAACUGACAGUUGCAUCUGUUCUAACCAUUUGGAAGGGUAAACGUUCUGAUGAAGGAGUGAACAUUCAGCAGCCUCAUGAUGAUGUCCUUUCAUAUGUUUCUCCUAUGUACCUAUGGAAAUCUCAAUAAAUGUGGGGGAAGAGGCAAGAGGCAAGACCAUCAGAAGAAUCUAAAGUGGUCUUUCAGGGUGAGUCUAAACAGAGAAGAGAAGAGAAGAGAAGAGGGAGGGGAGGGGAGGGGAGGGGAGGGGAAGAAGCUCAGUGGAAAUCGUAGCAAAGUCAUAGCAAAGGAUAAUUGAAUUACACCUAUUAACAUGGGAAUAAAAGUUUUAAAUUA